AGCCAUAACAGCCAACACCGCUUACAAGUAAGGACACGCCAAUCGUACUUUUGCCUUGAAUCACGCUUAGCAAACAUGGUUUCGCUUGGUUGGGCUCGCUGCCUCGCCGCUGCACAAGUUACGACGCGCCAGCCGGCACCCGCGUUUGUGACGACUAGGCUAGCGCGCCGGGGCGCCAUUGCACUGGCGCCGCGCGCGAAGAAGCUGUCUUCCCGUCAGGAGCAGCAGGAGCUCGCCGUGCAGGGCUACUCUGGGCUUGUCUUCACGGUUGUAUUCACUACCGCUGUUACGGCAAUAACAUUAUAUAUGGCGAUCCAGGGCAGUUUCCAGGACCUGAAGGCGGACAUAACAGAACUGAAGGCGGACAUCAAGGCCAUCACGACACGCCUGGACACCUGAAACUCCUGCUUCUCUGGGCUGGCAGUGACGUGACUGGACAAGGACGUAGACAUCGUGCUCAGUCGUGGGCUCAGUGGGGCUCAGUGGGGAUGACACGUGGAUGACACGGCUCAACGGUGGGUGAGGGCUCAGUGGGGCUCAGUGGGGCUCAGUCGUGGGCUCAGUGGCGCUCAGUGGGUGACGGCUGGGUGAUGGCUCAGUCGUGGGCUCAGUGGGACGCACUCACUCUACCCUCCCGACGGUGCAGGGACGUGACGUCAACUCCGUAACCAACAUCCGGCACGCGCUGGUGGAGAUGCUGCUGGGGCACAAGCGACCUGCAUCGUUGCAGACUGGCGGCGGCAGCGGCAGCGGCGGCGGCGCAUGCGCGCAUCUUGGUAGCGGAGGGGGCGGGAAAGGCCACGUGGAGGAGGAGAGCGCAGCGCCGCCCAAGAAGCGGUGCAAGCGCGCAGGCUGAGGAGCCGGCUGGUGUCUAGGUAGCGGUCCGUGGUGGGGCUGGCAUGCGUAGCGGCAUGACAAGUAGUGCAGCUGUUGACAACUGUGCUGCGUCUGGCUGCGGUUGGCUCUGCUGUGGCAUCGUGACUGCUAUGUGCCUGUGGAAACCGACCCCGGCUAUGUCCGGGCGAUGAGGAUAGCCGGGCGAUGAGGUUGUUCGGCCUCAGACUGUGGAGGGGCUCAGCCCCUUUUCCCGUGACCGGGGAACACUGGUUGUUUUGCGGUAUACUUCUGCAUGGCACCAAUAGUACCGGGGUAAUGAAAGUAUGUUGCAGUGCGUGUCUGGGCGCAUGCGUGUGGGAUGCGGUCUGGGCAGGCGCGCGGUAUAUCGGCUAUGCGUGAAUAUAGCAGGCCAAAAGCCUCGCGCUUCGCCCACACGCGCAACAUGUUCUGGACUUGACUUGGCGAAACAAGUUCAAGACGGCGAUGGAGCUGCACGGUGACGCAGAUGCGAUGGGGGUUAUGUGCCUGAGACCAUGACGAAGAUGUGUAUACUGUAGGUUUCAAUGUGCGGGGUCAUAAAACCAGAGACAUCGUGCAGCUAAGCUGAAACACUGCGAGUUUGAGUAGACUGACACCUGUUUUGCGCCUGCCCUGAGGAGGGACACCACGCCCAGGCGCCCAUGUGCAAAGCAUUUUGCAGUGGACAGUAGUGCAUGUGUUGAAAAACAACAAAAUGAAGCCUGCCCAGACGGCGCGCCGGAGUUCCUUACGGAUAGUGCAUGUGUGUGUGCCUUUGUGGAAGGUGUGUGUAUCGGUAUAAGCUGUGUGCAUGUUGGAGGGGGCCUAGGGUUGCUUAUUUGUGGACCUACAGAGCAAGCUAGCUGGGCGCAUGGGCCGUGCCGGCGUGGGUAGGGCAGUCGGUAGGGCCGAGGGCAGUUGGGGGCUACAUACGCGCCUAUGGAUGCUGCGGUGGUGUGGUUGUGCGAUGGGACAGUGCGGUAGGCGGGCUGUAUGCUGUCCUUGUUGUUACAGGUUGGUUGUGUGCAGGCCAACCGCGCAACAAGUAAGAACAAGCAAGCCGCUGAUGGUUAUCUCGUGGUACCCGUUAUCUCGUGGUAUCAUGCAGCACCCAUCACCAAGUGGGGACGGUGGCACGCGAUGGGGUGCCUGUGCCGUGACCUGUGCUGACGCCGUGGACCUGUGUGGACUGAUGGCGGGAAACAAAGCUUAACUGAGCCAAGCCAUGCCAGCCAUACAUACAAAUAAAGUCAGCAGUGAUUUAUAUUUUCACGCCAUUCACGCCUUCAGACGCUUAGACGAAAACGGAAAAGAACGGGGAAACAGGUUGCAACUUCCCUUCUGGAUACAAAGCGCCAUCUUAACAAUGCUAAAUAAAGAUGCUCUUAUAAAGCAUUGCAACUAAUAACAACAUCGCUCAACGAAAUGCGCGAACUCCUGGGUUCUGCCCUAGUCGUGGCGCUAGUGCUGGCAUGCACUCGCGUCACGGAUGCGGAUGAAUGCUUGAAUGUCCUACAUCCAGCGAUGACCGCGAGGUGCGGCCUUGAGGUUGCGCGCCACGACUCACAAGUCACCCUCUACCCGGCUAGUUAGUGCGUGCGCUGUGCGUGUGCUGCAGCCUGGACGAUUCCCGGCACUCCGGUGCCUAGGCUUGUGGCGUUGAGGCACAGCGGUGGGGCUCUGGCGGGUUGAGGCUUGGCUAGGACUCACUGUGCGCGGAGUCACACGGACUUUGACGUCGGGAGGGUUUGCAGCAAAGUCGGGGUUGGUGGAGUCAAGUUGGGC
rnacentral:lncRNA from 1 species